rnacentral:rRNA from 1 species
GAUGAACGCUGGCGGCGUGCCUAAUACAUGCAAGUCGAGCGAACAGACGAGGAGCUUGCUCCUCUGACGUUAGCGGCGGACGGGUGAGUAACACGUGGAUAACCUACCUAUAAGACUGGGAUAACUUCGGGAAACCGGAGCUAAUACCGGAUAAUAUAUUGAACCGCAUGGUUCAAUAGUGAAAGACGGUUUUGCUGUCACUUAUCGAUGGAUCACGCCGCAUUAGCUUGUUGGUUAGGUAACAGGCUACCCAGGCAAAGAAGGGUAGCCGACCUGAGAGGGUGAUCGGCCACACGGGAGCUGAGACACGGUCCAGACUCCUACGGGAGGCAGCAGUAGGGAAUCUUCCGCAAUGGGCGAAAGCCUGACGGAGCAACGCCGCGUGAGUGAUGAAGGUCUUCGGAGCGUAAAACUCUGUUAUUAGGGAAGAACAAAUGUGUAAGUAACUAUGCACGUCUUGACGGUACCUAAUCAGAAAGCCACGGCUAACUACGUG